rnacentral:rRNA from 1 species
UACGGAGGGUGCAAGCGUUAUCCGGAUUCACUGGGUUUAAAGGGUGCGUAGGUGGGCAGGUAAGUCAGUGGUGAAAUCUCCGGGCUUAACCCGGAAACUGCCGUUGAUACUAUCUGUCUUGAAUGUAGUGGAGGUGAGCGGAAUAUGUCAUGUAGCGGUGAAACGCUUAGAUAUGACAUAGAACAUCGAUUGCGAAGGCAGCUCGCUACACUAUUAUUGACACUGAGGCACGAAAGCGUGGGGAUCAAACAGG